UACAGAGGGGGCAAGCGUUGCUCGGAAUCACUGGGCGUAAAGGGCGCGUAGGCGGGAUGGCAAGUCGGUCGUGAAAUCCUUCGGCUCAACCGAAGAACGUCGGCCGAUACUGCCGUUCUUGAGGGAUGCAGAGGAGAUUGGAAUUCCCGGUGUAGCGGUGAAAUGUGUAGAGAUCGGGAGGAACACCGGUGGCGAAGGCGGGGUCUCUGGGCAUCUCCUGACGCUGAGGCGCGAAAGCGUGGGGAGCAAACGGGG
rnacentral:rRNA from 1 species